GGAAUAUUGGGCAAUGAGGCAACUCUGACCCAGCAACGCCGCGUGAAGGAUGAAGGUCUUCGGAUUGUAAACUUUUGUUGUAGAGGACGAAGAAAGUGACUGUACUCUACGAGGAAGCCCCGGCUAACUAUGUGCCAGCAGCCGCGGUAAUACAUAGGGGGCAAGCGUUGUCCGGAAUCACUGGGCGUAAAGGGAGCGUAGGCGGAUAUUUAAGUUAAGUGUGAAAGCCUGGGGCUUAACUCCAGAAAUGCACUUAAUACUGGAUAUCUAGAGUGUGGGAGAGGUAAGUGGAAUUCCUAGUGUAGCGGUAGAAUGCGUAGAGAUUAGGAGGAACACCAGAGGCGAAGGCGGCUUACUGGACCACAACUGACGCUGAGGCUCGAAAGCGUGGGGAGCAAACA
rnacentral:rRNA from 1 species